rnacentral:lncRNA from 1 species
CCUGAUAACAAGAGAUGAUUGAAUAUAUAAAAAAAAAACUUGACAAAUUACAUUAAAUUACCUUAAUCAUGAUCUGCUAAGGCUGGGAAUCUGGGUGGGCAAAUAUCUAUUUCAUAUUUAUAAAACAGUAACGCUCAUUACUUGUGAUGGUUCAGUAGCUCAUCCAGACACUGACCGAGUUGGGCAACUGCUCUAAUGAGAGCUGAAUGGUGAGUGUCCUCAGGGAGAGCUUGGCCGCUCUCCUGGAGCGUAUCCUUUAGAAGGAGGAGGAGCAGAAGAAGCUCAGAGAGAAACAGGAGGCUGGGCUGGAGAGGCUCUGGAUCAUGGUGUCGGAGCUGAGGAAGGACCAUGAGCUCCAAAUGAAGUCACUGAGGGCAGAGCUGCAAAGGCAGCCUAAACCAUUCGAUGAGAUACCAAGGCCUGCUGGAAUGGAGGAUGACGAUGAGACGGAGAUCGAGACUGACUGCACAAGUGAUGAGGAAGGCAGCAGGGACACAAGCAUCACACACACACACACACACACACACACACACACACACACACACACACACACACACACACACAGAGUAAACAAGGCAGUGAAAGUAACUCUGUGCCAGGUAAUGAGAAACAACAGAAAAAGGAAUAGCAGGAAAUAUUGACACACACAUUAAUGAAAUAUUAUAUUGUCACUUUUUGGCAUUGUGUAGGCCUGCAUGUGUUAUCAGGUAGCAUGCCGUUGAUACGUUUGAAAUGAAGUAAAACCAUGUUUACCCGGUGUUCUCAGAAGCAGAAGUAUGCUCAAUUAGCAGACAAGACUGAGAAUCAAUACACCUCUCAGAGAUACCGCACAACAACAACAACUAAACUGAGAACUGAUAACAAAAGCAGUGAGAAGGCAGUGGAAAACCAAGCAGAGAAAGUCACUAAAUACCAGGUAAUAAGAAACAAUAGGAAGCCACAGGAUUGGUCCGCCAUUCCGUUGGAUGACAAAGAUCAAACAAAAUAAAUGACUAUUAGGACAGAAAUUCUGAAGAGGG